GGCAGAGGCAGGGCUCCAACGCGACCAGCCUGAAAGGCUGGCUGCCUCUGGGCUCCAAGCUCGCCCUGCAAGGGUUCUGGCUCGCAGCUUUACGAGCAAGGGAAUUUACAGCUCUGCCCGCUUCCCCACCCACGACUACCUUUAAUUGCAAGCCUCACAUUUGCUCCCUGCACCCCUCUUGCCAAAGGCACUUCCCGACUCCCUCAGAGCAGACGGGCGCCAGCCGGGCCUCCAGACGACAACCGACAACCUCCAUGGUGACUCCUUGUCAGUCUAUUUCAACCCCAGUGCCUCAUAUUAUGCUGCUGCGUGAGAAAAGAGCCCUGACCCGAAGAGUCCCGUGACAGAAUUCUGCAGGCAGCACUGCAAACAGACCCACCAGGACUUCUUGGACACAGAUGAAGGAGACCUGGAUCUAGCUGCAGCACCAUGGUGAUGGGCCAUCAGCCUUCCUGUCUUCCUGCUUCAUCUAUAGCAUAUCCCGGGGACUUGUUAAGUGCUCUGCUAACCUGACCCACUACCCCGGUAACACUGUCUGAUCAGCACUGAACGUUCUCAUUAAACUGUUCCUCAUUUA